AAACAAAACUAAAAAUUCUGAUCUUCAAACACUGCAGCCCAGUCCCAAACAGUAGCACACCGUUGGAAGGCGAGAUUGUGAACACUCUAGACCUAGAAUGCUUCUGUCAUGGCAGAGGGGUCUCCAUGGCAACACACUCCACCGUGGCAGUGGACCAUGACUGUGGAACAUACUAUAGAAAACCAGAAUAAACGCUGUUACAGAAAAUAUUGCAGAAUGGAUGCGAUGCCUGCAAAGGUAUUUCUGAAAGUCUGGACAUUUAUUGAUUUGCCUGCCUGAAUGUUUGCACAACUGGUACAUUCUUGGUGUCCAGAGGCCAGAAAAUGGUAUUGGAACUGGAGUUGUAAGCAAUUGUGAGCUGCUAUGAGGAUGCUGGGCAUCAAACCAAGAUCCUGUGGAGGAAGAGCUAGAAUCACAGUUUAGGGGAAGCAUCAGAGAAACCAGGAUUGUCAAUCAUGGAUCUCUUAAAUGGAAGGAAAUGAAUGCUGCCUGAUCACCUGGAAUGCCAGCAAUCGUGGUCAAACAAUCUCAUGGUCUUUUGCUAUUCAUUGGGAGCCAGCCUUCACUUGAAUCUGUGCCCCCCCAAUAUAAGCCCCCUCCCACUGCCCAAUAUCCUGAGCACUGCUGAAGUCCUAAAACUGAGUUUUGUUUCUUAAUGAACAAAACACAUUCCUAUGAGAAAGGCCCCAUUUGCUCUGCUUCCUCUACCAAUAGAAUCUGUCUUUAUGCCUAUCACUGAUGCUACUUCUAGGCCCUAGCCCUGAGAUCUUUGUUUAUCAGAAAUAAAACACAUUUUAAUUGUAAA